AAAGAAUUGAACUGCAAGAGUUAUUGCUAGGUUCAUGUGAUCCAUGCUUGGGUCUUCAUGGGACACGCUGGUCAACAGCAGUGAAUCAUGCGCUUGGGUUUUGACUGGGACACAACUGGUAUGAGUAUUAUGUUGCUUGCUAAGCUUGCCAAGACAUUAAUGGGAUCGCUAUAAAUAGUCGUCACAGCAAGGGAGAUCUUCUCCAGAUGCCAGUUUUGAAUGAGAGCUAGAUCAGUGUUGUACUCACAUCAGGAAGGAUAGGAGUUGCCUUUGGUAGUGGUGGAAGCCAAUCACUACCUGCUACAGAGCUGUCUGGCAUUUCUUCUUGGCUGGUUUGACAUUAGUGAUUCAGGUGGUUCAAACUAUAUUUCCCAAAGUUUGGCAGAUGAUUGUUGAGUUAGGAAGCUUUCUACUAGUUUAACUAAUGUCUCAAGUUUUCCCUUGCUACUAGUUUUGUACUCCUUUUUCAAGCAGUUUGUCGAUCUUCUGGCUUUGCUGGCAUUUGUAUUGGCUUUCAUGAUGUUGCCAUAAACACGAAUCUAUGUCAUAUGGGAUGAAGAACACUGAGACAGACGAGUUGUAUGUAAACAGUUUGUGUACCUGGUUAGUAAACACAUCCCAUCAAUAAAAU